rnacentral:rRNA from 1 species
GCUAUAAUGCAGUCGAGCGCGAAGGUCUGAGCCUUCGGGCGGAGGGCCGAGUAGAGUGGCGAAGGGAGAGGAACACGUAGGUGACCUGCCCCGGAGAGGGGGAUAACCGUCGGAAACGGCGGCUAAUACCCCAUAAGCUCACGCGAGUUAGAGGGUGUGUGAGAAAAGCUCCGGCGCUCCGGGAGGGGCCUGCGGCCCAUCAGCUAGUUGGUAGGGUAAAGGCCUACCAAGGGGAAGACGGGUAGGGGGCCUGAGAGGGUGGUCCCCCACAUGGGAACUGAGACACGGUCCCAACUCCUACGGGAGGCAGCAGUAAGGAAUAUUGCGCAAUGGGCGCAAGCCUGAUGCAGCAACGCCGCGUGCCCGAGGACGGCCUUCGGGUUGUAAAGGGCUUUUCUGGCUGACGAGGAAGGACGGUAGGCCAGGAAUAAGCGUCGGCUAACUACGUGCCAGCAGCGCGGUAAU